rnacentral:rRNA from 1 species
CAAGACCUUGCGCUUUUGGAGCGGCCGAUGUCUGAUUAGCUAGUUGGUGAGGUAAAGGCUCACCAAGGCUCCGAUCAGUAGCUGGUCUGAGAGGACGACCAGCCACACUGGGACUGAGACACGGCCCAGACUCCUACGGGAGGCAGCAGUGGGGAAUUUUGGACAAUGGGGGCAACCCUGAUCCAGCCAUGCCGCGUGAGUGAAGAAGGCCUUCGGGUUGUAAAGCUCUUUCAGCCGGAACGAAACGGUUACAGCUAAUACCUAUGACUUCUGACGGUACCGGAAGAAGAAGCCCCGGCUAACUACGUGCCAGCAGCCGCGGUAAUACGUAGGGUGCGAGCGUUAAUCGGAAUUACUGGGCGUAAAGGGUGCGCAGGCGGUUUUGUAAGUCAGAUGUGAAAUCCCCGGGCUUAACCUGGGAACU